rnacentral:rRNA from 1 species
AUUGAACGCUGGCGGCAGGCCUAACACAUGCAAGUCGAACGAGUGGCGGACGGGUGAGUAAUGUCUGGGACACUGUCUUAUGGAGGGGGAUAACUACUGGAAACGGUAGCUAAUACCGCAUACCAUCGGAUGUGCCCAGAUGGGAUUAGCUAGUGGGUGGGGUAAAGGCUCACUUGGGCGACGAUCGCUAGCUGGUCUGAUAGGAUGACCCGCAACACUGGGGGUGAGACACGGUCACGACUCUGACGGGAGGCAGCAGUGGGGAAUAUUGCACAAUGGGCGCAAGCCUGAUGCAGCCAUGCCGCGUGUAUGAAGAAGGCCUUCGGGUUGUAAAGUUAGUUCAGCGGGGAGGCGUUACCCACAGAAGAAGCACCGGAUAACUCCGUGCCAGCAGCCGCGGUAAUUC